rnacentral:rRNA from 1 species
CACGUAGGGUGCGAGCGUUGUCCGGAAUUAUUGGGCGUAAAGAGCUCGUAGGCGGUGUGUCACGUCGGCCGUGAAAACCUGCAGCUUAACUGUGGGCGUGCGGUCGAUACGGGCAUCACUGGAGUUCGGCAGGGGAGACUGGAAUUCCUGGUGUAGCGGUGAAAUGCGUAGAUAUCUGGAGGAAUACCGGUGGCGAAGGCGGCAUCCUGGACCAAUACUGACGCUGAGGCGCGAAAGCUAGGGGAGCAAACGGG